rnacentral:tRNA from 1 species
ACCGCCGUGUGCAGGGCGUGGUGCACGUCGUCGUUCCAGACGGCGGCCAGGCCGUACCCGCCGGCCUCCCGCGGGGUCACCAGCCGCGGGUCGUU